rnacentral:rRNA from 1 species
AGUGAACGCUGGCGGUAGGCCUAACACAUGCAAGUCGAACGGCAGCACAGUAAGAGCUUGCUCUUACGGGUGGCGAGUGGCGGACGGGUGAGGAAUACAUCGGAAUCUACUUUUUCGUGGGGGAUAACGUAGGGAAACUUACGCUAAUACCGCAUACGACCUACGGGUGAAAGCAGGGGAUCUUCGGACCUUGCGCGAUUGAAUGAGCCGAUGUCGGAUUAGCUAGUUGGCGGGGUAAAGGCCCACCAAGGCGACGAUCCGUAGCUGGUCUGAGAGGAUGAUCAGCCACACUGGAACUGAGACACGGUCCAGACUCCUACGGGAGGCAGCAGCGGGGAAUAUUGGACAAUGGGCGCAAGCCUGAUCCAGCCAUACCGCGUGGGUGAAGAAGGCCUUCGGGUUGUAAAGCCCUUUUGUUGGGAAAGAAAAGCAGCAGGUUAAAACCCCGCUGUUCUGACGGUACCCAAAGAAUAAGCACCGGCUAACUUCGUG